CAGACCUGCUUCACCGCUUGUGAAGUGACUCCCCUACAGGUGGGGAGCCUUGGGGCUCAAACUGGGAUCCUUGCGCUUCGCGCCACAUGCUUUAAACCCGCUGUGCUACCACCUGACUCCCGGGCCUUCUUAACAUGGAUAACAGCCCAAGGGAUUCUGAGCUGGUCUACUUGCCAUAACUGGCAAAGGUGAACUAGACUUGCCCUACUCCCAUUUGUGCUCCUUUGCCUAGAAAAACAGAUCAAGUGCAGCCUACCCUAGGCUACCCAGAGAAAGCCUGUCCACUCUGGAGUGGCUCCACUCUACCUGUUGCUGACGCUGUGUUCAAGAUCCCAGGGCCAUCAAGCUGGGCCGGACAGGGUCACAGAAGGAACAGGAUUCUUAACCUCUCAGUGUGGGUGCUCCCAUCUGCUGACAGUCUGUCUCCUAUUUCUCCAGGCUUUCCCCUGAGGACUGGGAGGACCUGCGAUGAGGCCUCCACCCUCUCUCAGCUGAGGCCACUGACUCAGCUCGGGUCCUGUCAUGUUCUUCAGAGGACGCCUUUGUCCCUGGCCCUCAUUCCAGUCCUCAUUCCAACUCCACUUCGGCAUGCAGACAGCAUCAAAGGAGUGCGGGUGCCCCAGCCCAGCCCAGCCCAGCCCAGCCAGCUCUCCUCUCCUCUCCUUUUGUCCCCUCCACUUUUUAGGGGGUCUGCCUUGCAGGACCCGGGCAGCAUCACUACUAUCUCCCACUAGCCUCAUUCUAAAAACAUCCAGACCAGGAGUGGGGCUCUCAGGAGACAGCUAGAUCAGGUGGCACAUACCUGCCUCUUCUCCGAGGAUGGACGAGUCGAGCCGGGCACAAGCAUGGAGCUGCUGGUGAGUCCCAGCUGGCACUGGCGCGGCGCGGUGAGCAGCAGCUGGCCUCUCUGGCCUCGGCUCCUGCCCGCCUCUCUCCCACCUCCGCCGGGGGCCCGGAAAGGACCUCCCCGGGAAAUCGGCGCCACCCAGCGGACAGCUGCCUCAUCGCGCUGGGGCCAGAAAAGCCACACCCCGCGUCUCGCGUCACUGAGACGCACCGCGCCUAUUGGCUUGUUCCCUUUGUGACGCAAUCGGAGCCCCGCCCGGCUAUGGUCUCCCGGGUGACGGGUAUAAACAGAGCCACGUGGAAGAAAAGCACGUUUGGAUAGGGAGUGGAGCUGGAAAGGAUGUGGGCUGGCACUUGUCCCCAGCCGGCGACUGAAGGUGGAAGGUCUGGCUUCUGUAAUUGUUUCCCUGCUGAACAUAGGGGUUGACGAGGUCGAUCCAUACUCCCAGCUGUCCCAGCCUGCCUCUCUCUUUCCCUAGUGGGGCAGGGUUCUGGGGAAGGGGAGCUCCAGGGCACAUUGGUGGGGUCAUCUGACCUGGGAAGUCUGGUUGGCAUCAUGCUAGCAUCUGGAACCUGGUGGCUGAAAAGAGUUAACAUACAAAGCCAAAUUGUUGACUAAUCAUGAAUCUAAAGGCUGGAGUAGUGCAGAUGAAGAGUUGGGGAGGGUCUCUGUUCUGUAGAUAGCUAGUAGGCAUUUCAGUUAUAUUCCAAAGGGCCUGUGGCUAUACUAGUUUUUUUUUUUUCCCUAAGCCUGAAAUCUGAUGUGCGGGUGUAUCCUAGUUAUUGUCUGGGGAGAUGAUGUCAUGGCUGGAAAAAGGACCAGAAAGCUGGAUCUGGGAAGAGAGUAGCUCCCAAAUGUGGGAAAGGUGUGUAAAUAUUGUUGAGUGUAAACCCCAUCUAUUUGAUUUGAUCUGGGGCCCAUAUUCAGCUUGGGAGCCUAUGUGACCUCUGCAUCCCUGUAGAUCCAACCUUACAUUCUGUGGUCAUCAUUAGGAACAUUCCAAGCUGCCCCAAUAUCAGAACCCACUGAAUGCAAUUUUUAAAAAGUCUGGUGAUAGGUAUCUUCUGUCCCAUCAGCAUUUUAAGUCCUCCUCCACCCUAAAGCACUGUGUCCCCAACAUUCUCUCAGCUUCUCCCAACACCUCCUGGACUUUGAUUUCACUGGUCUUUUCUCUGUCUCUUUGAUGGUUCCUAUUCAUAUCUAAACCCACUCAAUGUUGGAGAUCUCUAGGAUUUGAUCCUCACCCCUCCCUGCCUCCCUUUCUCUUUCCUCUCUUUCUUGACAGAGAGGUAGAGGUAGAGAGAAACUGCAGCCCUCAAACUUCUUUCAGUAUGGGAGAAGCCAGGCUUGACCCUGGCUGGCACACAUGGUAAAGCAGUGCACUAUCCAAGUGAGCUAUUUUUCUGCCCCCACAUAUCUUUUAAAAAUUUAUUAGGAGAGACAGACAGAGACAGAGAGACAGAAAGAGAGAGGCACCCGAGUAUUGCUCAAGCAUAUACAAUGCUGGCAAGCUAAUUCAUGAUCUCAUCCUUGUAAGUCCAGUGCUUUACCCACUUCUGUGAUGCUGCUUUUCUUAUUUUUCUCUUUUUUAAAAGAGACAACAGCACUUUAAAAAUAGUAUUUAUUAUUAGAGGAAGAGAAAUUGAGAGGGGAAGGGUAGAUAGGGAGAGAAACAGCCCUGCUUCACCACUUGUGAAACUUUCCCCCUUCAGGUGGGGACAAGGGGGAUUUUCAUAUCAUUUCACUUGGUGGUCUCUUCUAAUCUUGUGACUAAAUAAUACCCAGUGAGGAGAAUUUAGUUUUUUGUAUCUCUAGCCUAGCCUUUCCAAACAUGUCCAUCCAACCACUUUCUUAAAUAGACAUCUCAAACUGAAGUUGUAUUCAAUUAAGUUCCUGACCUCUUUCUGCCCUCAAACCCUGCUCCCCAAAUGAAACCCUCCUCAACAUCACCUUAUAUAAUGUUAAUGUUUAAAACAUCCUUCUUGGGGGCUGGCCGGUAAUGCAGUGGGUUAAGCACACAUGGCAAAGUGCAAGGACCAAGUAUACGGAUCCCUGUUCAAUCCCCUGGCUCCCCACCUGCAGCGGGGGUUGCUUUAUAAGUAGUGAAGCAGGUCUGCAGGUGUCUGUCUUUCUCCCUUUCUGUCUUCCCUUCCUCUCAAUUUCUCUCUGUCCUAUUCGGCAACAACAGCAAUAACAACAGUGACAGUAACAAGGGCAACAAAAUGGAAAAAAUGACCUCCAGAGGCAGUGGAUUCAUAGUGCAGGCACCGAACCCCAAUGAUAACCCUAGAGGAUAAAAAAUCCCUCUAGCUCUCAUUCUUACUUUAACUAAAUCAACAGAAUCCCCCACCUUGGCUCUACAUUCAAAAUACAUGCAGAACACAA